ACAGGAAUCACCUGGGGAUCUUAAGCAGAUACAGACUCUGAUUCAGUAGAUCUGAGAUGGGCUUGAGAUUCUGCAUGUCUAAUAACUUCCAGGUGAUGCUAAU
rnacentral:pre_miRNA from 1 species